UACAGAGGGUGCGAGCGUUAAUCGGAAUUACUGGGCGUAAAGCGUGCGUAGACGGCUAUCUAAGUCGGGUGUGAAAGCCCCGGGCUCAACCUGGGAAUUGCAUUCGAGACUGAAUAGCUAGGGUACGGUAGAGGGAAGUGGAAUUUCCGGUGUAGCGGUGAAAUGCGUAGAUAUCGGGAGGAACACCAGUGGCGAAGGCGACUACCUGGCCUGUUCUUGACGCUGAGGCGCGAAAGCUAGGGGAGCAAACGGG
rnacentral:rRNA from 1 species